UGUACUACCAGUACCAGCUGGUGACCUGCAGCUACGUGCUGGAGCCCUGGGAGCAGUCCAUGUUCCACACCAUCACCGUCACCGUGCUGGCCAUGGUGGUGUACACAGCCUACGUCUUCGUGCCCAUCCACGUCCGCCUGGCCUUGCAAUUCUUCUCCCAGAUUUUCGGGCCCCAGGCCGAGAGCGCCGUGCUGAACUGAGCCGGGCCCAGCAGGGCCCUGCAGCUCUGUGAAAUGCUGAUCCUGCUGAAGUUUGGCCCUUAGGACAACCCUGCCUGCUUCUCCUCCGGGCUUGGAGAGCGGAGAGAGUCACCCAGCACGGCCCCUCUUCCAUAAACGCUCUGGGAAUGGCACCCAGCUCCUGGAAGGGCACAGGAUCCACGCAGCUCCAGGUCCUGGAAUGACACAGGAUCCACGCAGCUCCAGCUCCUGGAAUGGCACAGGAUCCACACAGCUCCAGCUCCUGGAACAACACAGGAUCCACACAGCUCCAGGUCCUGGAACAACACAGGAUCCACACAGCUCCAGGUCCUGGAAGGGCACAGGAACCACACAGCUCCAGGUCCUGGAAGGGCACAGGAUCCACGCAGCUCCAGGUCCUGGAACAACACAGGAUCCACACAGUUCCAGCUCCUGGAACAGCACAGGAUCCACGCAGCUCCAGGUACUGGAAUGAUACAGGAUCCACGCAGCUCCAGGUCCUGGAAGGGCACAGGAUCCAUGCAGCUCCAGGUCCUGGAAUGGCACAGGAUCCACGCAGCUCCAGGUCCUGGAAGGGCACAGGAUCCACGCAGGUCCCACCUCCAGCAGCAAACCCCGUUCCCUAUUCCAUCCUUGCUCAGCCAGGCUCUUUCCCAGUGCUGCUUUAGGGUUUGUUGCUUUGAGGGACAGCCAAGUUCUGCUGCCCCAAACUCACUGUGAGCACCAGACUGGAGGGGUGUGAGGUCUCCAAGCCUCUGUGUUCUGGCAUUUUAGGCAGCACGAGGGUAGCAGAAAAUGGGACAUUGGGAGGUUUUCCAGCAGGGAAAUCUGAUGAAUUCCCUAUGGACUGAUCUGCUUGGAACGUCCUUAAACCCCAAAUAACAGAAUCCCUCUGUAAAGCCUUGAACACUUUCUUAUCAUUCUAUUUUCUCUAAAUAGAUGCUUUUAGCCUGCAUUUAGAGAUUGUUUCAAAUGCCAAAAAGAACAUUUAACAAUGAACAGUGAAGGCAAACCCUAUUUCCUGUUUAAUUCUUGCUCAGCCAUUCUCUUUUCCAAGUGGAGCCGGGAAUAAUGAAUGCAUAAAGGCAUCACCCAAGAGGGAAAUCUUUCCUAGACGUGUAAUUUCCAUUAAAUGUUCUUUUAAUCCACAAAAUUUCUGAUUCCUUUGGAAAUGAGCUGCAUCCACCUGCUCUGGCAGAGGCUGUUUUGGUGGCUCCUCACACCCAAAGUUCUACCAACACAAUCCAGGGGCCAGGUUAGAGGAGAUAAAAAAUGAGGAUCUCCAGCAGGAUUGGAGCUCCUGGCUGGCUGGUUGGUGACUUCCAGGCUUCAAUGGAUGGGAGAGAAACUUGGAAGAGAAGGCAACAGGAGGAUGAACUUAAAUCCAGCUUUUUUCACAUCUAAGUUUCUGCAGCUGAGUUCAGAUGGUCUAAAAUAAUUUUUUUUUUUUUGGAAAAAAAUUCUCCAUCUCAUCUUGCAGUUUAGUGAGGAUGACAGGAAGAAGCAGCCCUGCUCUGUCUCAGUGCCCUUUGCCUUCUCUGGUGAAAAUCAAAAUCUUUUCUUGCUGCUCCCACUCACCAAGGCAGCAAAGUGCAAAUCAGCACCAGGGGAAGAGGCUCCAGAGUGGAAACAAUAUUUUAAUACCUGCAGGGAAGGCUUAAAGAGAUUUCCUUCACAAAGAAGAAAUUAGAUUUAUUGCCAUUGCCUGUGGGGAGGUUUUGGAACAGUGGGAGGUUUGUUUGGUUUUCACUCCACACAAAUCAAACGUGGGUGCCAAAUCAUAAAUUACAGCUGCACUCUGCACAUCUCUACCAGCUGAUGCUCCUGUUAGUAGAAGUGAGAGUGCAAAAUGUAAAUAGCUUUCAAAUGAUGUUUGCACAGUUCUAGAUUAAAAAGAAAACCCUCUUAACUUCUUUCUCAAGCUGCAGUGGGCUCCUGCAUGCUUCAGAGAACAAAUUUGUUUGGAAACGAAGACAUGUGGUGAAGGUUGCUCAGAUCUGAACAUGUGUAUGCAGUUUUUUCAGCCAAAAAAAGAAUAAAAUUUUAUUCUUCA
rnacentral:lncRNA from 1 species